rnacentral:rRNA from 1 species
GGUCCGGUCGCGUGGUCGGCCGAAAGGUCAGCACUGCAACGGCCGGAUCUUUCCUUCUGGAGAGCGAGCAUGCCAUUUAUUUGGUGUGCUCGGGAUCCAGGACUUUUACUUUGAAAAAAUUAGAGUGUUCAAAGCAGGCAUUUGCUCGAAUACAUUAGCAUGGAAUAAUAGAAUAGGACC